UGACACCUGCAACCCCGCAGUGCUGUCCCCCUGGCUGGGUUGGCUACAAUGGGUCUGCUACUAUUUCUCAAGGGAUUUCAGCAGCUGGGAGCAGGCUGAGGAACGGUGCUCGGAGCUCGGGGCCUCCCUGGCCAUUCUGAAGGAUGAGGAGGAAAUGGGUUUGCUCUUCCGCCUCCGCGGGAACGGCGAUUACUGGCUCGGGCUGCGCAGACGGGGCGAGCGCCUGCACUGGGGGGACGGCAGCAGCUACAGCUCCCGGGUUCCUGUCUUUGGCGAUUCCGACUGUGUGUACCUGGCUGAGGAGAGAUUCAGGAGUGAGAACUGCUCAAAGGAGCGGCCGUAUGUCUGCAGCAAGGCCCAGGCUCCCCUGUAACAGGGGCUGCAGAAAGGACCUUCUCCACGCUGGGCAGUGCCAGCUUCACCUCUCAGCCCAGCCCAGGGCUGUCCUUGCUCAGCUGCACCCUGUGCCUUGCCCUCGCUCUCAGGGUCACCUCAGUGCCUCUUCAUCCAUGCCCAGUGCCAGCGCUGGGCUGGGUGUGCAAAGGAAAAGGCUCUGCAAUCCAUCCUGCCUCCCAUGCUGCCUGGAGUGACAUCCAGUCAUUCUAUGUGAGAAACACAGCUCUCUAUUUACAGUUUUAUAAAA